CGCCUGUUUAUUAAAAACAUGGCUCUUUGGUGUUAGAAAUAAAGAGUCGGACCUGCCCGGUGAAUGUAAUAAACGGUUGCAACGAGAGUUGUACGAAGGUAGCGUGAUAAGUUGUCUUUUAAUUGGAGAAUGGAAUGAAGGGUUUGACGUGAAAUUUCUUUUUUUAUAAAAGGUACUAAAGUUUCCUUCUAAGUGAAAAGGCUUAGGUUUUUGAAAAAGACGAGAAGACCCUGUCGAACUUGAUUAAGAAUUACUGGUUAUAGAUAUUUAAAAGUUUUAUUGGGGCAAUAUUAACUUAAAAAACAGUUAAUUUAUUCAUAGAUCCUUUUUGAAAGAAAGAGGAAAAAGUUACCGCAGGGAUAACAGCGUUAUUUCUUCUAAGAGAUCUUAUUGAGGAAGAAGUUUGCGACCUCGAUGUUGGAUUAUAGAAACUUUAUGGUGCAGCAGCUAUAAUUGUGAGACUGUUCGUCUUUUAAUUCUAUACAUGAUCUGAGUUCAGACCGG
rnacentral:rRNA from 1 species